rnacentral:rRNA from 1 species
UACGUAGGGGGCUAGCGUUGUCCGGAAUCAUUGGGCGUAAAGAGCGUGUAGGCGGCCCGGUAAGUCCGCUGUGAAAGUCGGGGGGCUCAACCCUCGAAUGCCGGUGGAUACUGUCGGGCUAGAGUGCGGAAGAGGCGAGUGGAAUUCCUGGUGUAGCGGUGAAAUGCGCAGAUAUCAGGAGGAACACCUAUUGCGAAGGCAGCUCGCUGGGACGUAACUGACGCUGAGACGCGAAAGCGUGGGGAGCAAACAGG